rnacentral:rRNA from 1 species
CACGCCGUAAACGAUGGAUGCUAGCCGUCGGCAAGCUUGCUUGUCGGUGGCGCAGCUAACGCAUUAAGCAUCCCGCCUGGGGAGUACGGCCGCAAGGUUAAAACUCAAAGGAAUUGACGGGGGCCCGCACAAGCGGUGGAGCAUGUGGUUUAAUUCGACGCAACGCGAAGAACCUUACCAGCCCUUGACAUGUCCGGACGGUUUCCAGAGAUGGAUUCCUCCUAGCAAUAGGUCGGAACACAGGUGC